GCCUCCUCGUGAUGUUCUCCUGACCGGUAGAAUUUUUUUUUUUAAAUAACAGUUUACACUCGGCGUUCACCCCACAAUUACGCACUACACAACAGUAGGUGGACCUAAACCUACCCAAAGCACCGUGUCCUCGGUUUUCACUUUAAAACGCGAAUAUCUAUUCAACUUCCAGUCCAUGUUAGCUUAACAAAAUAAAAACUCUUGUGAACUUUACUGACUGACAGUAGUAGCCUAACUUGUUACCCUUUCAAUCCACUGUGGCUGAAUGUGCACCUGUUCUUUUGCCUGUGCUUCGUAGUUCCUAAAUACGCGCAGGGGCGGAUGCCGGAGCGGGAAGUCUGUUCCUCGGCUCGCCAUUGGUGGAUAGGGAGGUGAUCCCCGUCACUAGCAGGGGUUUCCCCUCUGUAGAGGCGUCCUAGUUUCCCUGGAAACCGACAUGAAGUGCCACAGUGAAACAAUAUCUAAUCUAAAGAGUCAACAGAGCGCAACGCGGCAAACUUUUAAAGGUCUUGGCGCGGUUAUAAGAGAAUAGCGUGUCAUUUAUUUUUAAACUGUCAACAUUAUCAGUGGUUAAUUUAAAAACAAUCGAACAUCGUCUUGCAAUUCUGUAGGGUCCUAAUUUAUUUUUGGACAUUCCUUCAUGCUUUAUUGUAGACUAGCUCACUCACACACACACACACACACACACACACACACACACACACACAUUUCGAUCCCAAAAUAUUUUUUCUAGAAAGUGAUAAAGCAGUCUAUAGAAGGCCUAUAUUAAAUAAUGUAACCGAUGAGAUAGAAGACAUAGACUUAAAAUAGACAAUAGCCUCUUAUUGUUAUUACACUCAACAAGGGUUCCUCUUAGAUCCUCAAAGUUCUCUGAAGAACCGUAGGGGGGGGGGUCCUUUCCAGGAAUCUAACUGCCCAACUGAAACACUUGGAUUUGAAUUGGAAAAGAGAGCAGGUGUAGCCACUUAACUGAAAAAUUUAAAGAUCUCAAUUUAAGUUUAAGGUUUGUCCCUUGUGUGAUAUACAUUUAUAAUGUUUUCUGAUGACACUAUGUAUCUUUUCAUAUUUGUGUAAAUCUUUCUAAAAAAACUGAAAAUGGACACAAUUCAAUGGAUAUCAGUCAACAAAGAGGUAAGAAUAGGUAGGCUAUAAGAAUAUGUAGGCUAUAAGAAUAUAUAGGCUAUAAGAAUAGGUAGGCUAUAAGAAUAUGUAGGCUAUAAGAAUAGGUAGGCUAUAAGAAUAUGUAGGCUAUAAGAAUAUGUAGGCUAUAAGAAUAUGUAGGCUAUAAGAAUAUAUAGGCUAUAAGAAUAGGUAGGCUAUAAGAAUAUAUAGGCUAUAAGAAUAUAUAGGCUAUAAGAAUAUGUUGAAGGCUAGCUGUAUUGGGUGCAGAUGACUGAUCUGCUCACUUUUGUGUCUGUGUCUGCAGUCAAACAGACGAGGAGGCAGACAAAGGUGUGUUAAUUGGUAUUGGUAUGUAAUGCAGAUGACAUUUACCAUCCUCCUCCCUGACCUCUUCAAUGAAUAUCCCAUAGGUCUCUCUACAUUAUGGACAAGG
ensembl:lncRNA